rnacentral:lncRNA from 1 species
CAUGUUGCUGCUUCAAGCGACUGUCUACUGACCACUCACUGUGGUUGAUAUUUGACCAUGCUGGUGCCAAAUCAUAUUUACCUAAAUAAUUUUUACAUAUCUCAUUAAAUUUAAUUUUAUUUAAACAUUUUUCUGUCCAGACAGUAUUUUUGCAUUAAAAGUAGGAUUUUUCCAUCACUAUUGAAUCAAAGUGAUUUUUUUUUUUAAUGACAAACUUAGUUUGACUCUGUGCUAAGCAAGGUGAUAGGGAUAGGGCACAAACUGAGUCAGUUAUGUCUCCUGCCUCUCAGUAUCUUAUGGUAAAGAUACAGUCGCAUUUGGGGACAAAAUUUAGAUCAAUUCAAAUCUUUGUCGCAAGAAAGAGAGAGAAAAAUGACCUUAAAAAACUGUGCUAGCCAGAAAGGGAUUCAUUUGAAAUGAGUAUUGAAGCGUGUGUUGGGAAGAAUGAUUUAAUACUGAAGAAAGACAUUUUAGGUAAAGAGAAUAGAAGACAAAGAUGCGCCUGAAGCAGUGAGAUUCCCCGAGGGAUUUCAGAAGCAGCUGGUAGUCCGGUGUGGCUGGGAUUUAGUUCCUCUAAGGCCCUUAUUUAAUUACACUAAUGCUUUCAGCAUCUCCCUGCGUCUUGGGUAGUGGAAGAUUGCCUGGCCUACCUUUACAGUGUUGAUCUUGGGAACAUCCUAAUCACGCAAGUCAAUCUUACUUUGAACCCUUUCCCUGAAGCCCAGCGGUCACCUUUGGUGUCAGCAACACUUUAAGAAUUGAUUUCCGUUCCCUUAGCAAUUCGCAUUAUUGUCAAGAGAGUCCCCAGUGAAACAGUAAUAUAUUUCUCAUAUUUCCAAUAUGCAUGACACACAUAACACUUAUAAGUCUAUUGCCUUUUCAGAAACAAUCAUCAAAGUGCAAGAUAUGUUAUCAGGAAAAUACCCUACAGGACUUUGUAAUAGAUGCCAAUGGCUUCAAGAUUCUGCAGACCCAGACUUUCUGAACAGUCCCUCUUGAGUAAAGAAUUAAGGAGUAGAGUAGUGAAGUUGUAGGGCCUGCCUCAAUGUACCUAAAGCCCAGUUUGGGAAAGGCCAGGAGCUGGAAGGUUACAAUGUUGGUGAGAACAUCCAUCAUUUAAGAAGAAACCUGGAGAGACAAGAGGACUGAGUAAAUUCACAAGGAGAAAACUCUUAGAUAUGAACAGCAGCAAAGCUGCAAACCUGAAACUUCUAUGAUGAUCCUUUAAACAGAAGAUACCUGAGAUUCAUAUGUUGAACUCAUUGACUUUUUAAGGAGAACUAACCAUGGGCCAGAUACUAUUCCAGGUGCCAGAGGUAUGCCAGUGAAAUAAAACUGAAAAAUGUUUCUUCCUCAUGAAGGUAACAUAAUGCUACAUGUGAUUUUAUUCUCAAAACAACCCUCCAUGGAAAUAUUCCUAUUACCUCUCUUUUAUAGAUGAGGAAAUUGAGGCUCAUACAGGUUGAAUAACAUGACCAUCAUCACACAGCCUGAAUGUAUUAUAACUGGGAUUUGAUCUCAGAUAGCCUGGCUCUUGGCCAUUACUCUAUACAAUGUCCUGUUUCUAUUACCUACAAAAGAACAAGUGAGCUAAUAUUUCUUAUUAACCUUGGACCAGUUACUUUGGGGAGAGCUUUAAACAUGUCAUCUCAUUGUUUACUUUCCUGCAAAGAACUUGAUUGGGAUCCUGAUUUCCAUGAUGAAUAAAAAGAAAAUGAGAUGUUAGAAGAUAGAGAGUUGGAAGAUUGGUAUACUUCCUGGACAUUUUAAAUAGUUCAUGUUUUGUUUUUUCAUUUCUCUUUUGGCCAUAUCCGUGGCAUUCCAAAGUUCCUGGGCCAGGGAUUGAACCUGCCUCACAGCAGUGACCAUGCCCUGUUCUUAACUGCUAGGCCACUAGGGAACUCCUACAGUUCAUGUUUUAAGUGUGGUAAUAUGUGAUCACAUUUUUAAAAAAAGAUUCCAUAUAUUCUAAAUAUACAUACUGACAUAAAUAUAUGAUUUGCUUUAAAUAGGCUUGGAGUGGGAUGAGGCAUAAAUGUGAAAUCUCACUGGCCACAAGUUGAUUAUGAGUAAGCUGCGUGAUGGGCACAUGAGAGUUUCUUAUGCUAUAAUCUCUACUUCUGUAGAUAUUUGCAACUUUUCGUAAAAAAGUUAAAAGAAGAAUAUCUCAGAACAUGCUAUUUCUUGUUGUGGCUUAUUAGCUGUAAUCUUAGUACUACCAAAGAAAUUUUAACAGAAUGUCAAACAAUUACUCUUUCACUUGUAAGCUUGUAAUUUACUAAAAAUAAUUCUGAUACAGCCCCACCACUAACAUAUACCAGGGCCUGAGUGAGAGUGAAGUGGUACCCAUGUUCCUUAUGUCCAGUAUAUAAAGUCAUAAGCCAGAUUACUGAACUAGCAAAGAAAAUAUGUCCUACUCCCUUACGUGGAUAAGUAUACCUUCAUUAUGUCCUGGAAGACCAAAUUCAGGUUUAAAAUUCUUAGAUUCCUUUCUGUGUUUUGUACCAGACAACCAACCCCUAACUCCUGACCUGCAGCCCCAUGGUUUGGAACCCUCCCUUUCUCUUCCCACUCUAAGCCCUGCCUUUCCUUACCAUGAGGGGCCUCAGCGCAUCCUUCAGUUUUCACUUCUAUGUCCUUUUCAGAGUUUCUGUGUGCUACCACUCCUUGGGGCCUCGAGUGUGUAGGAUGGUCCAUACAGGUCCUAGAAGCAGGCUCAGGGCCCUUUGGAAGGAAAUUCCUGGUGCAUAAGUAGCCAGAGCAUCCUGAGGCAGAGGGGAGCCACUGAUUCCAUGCAGGUGCAUCCUUAUCACCCUGUGAAGCCCUCAGCUGGUGGAAAUCAAUGGUUACAGGAGGGUCAGAGCAGAACCUGCUACAACUCAGGGCCAGAGUUUGGUAUCUCGUGCCUGGAUCCAAGGGAGAUAAGUCUCUGUUGGCUUAAGUUCUCCAAUUCUUACAAGAAACCCUUAAUUUGGCUCACAUUAUUUGACUUUGUUCAUUCCUUUUGACAUUUAUCUUUUGCAAACCGUAACAAUUUAGCUCAAAUACAACUGAAUACUGGUCUUCUCUUUAAAAAAUUAUUUUUUGCUUUCAAAGUGUAAUUGGCAACUUCAAGGGAUUUAUCUGCCCGUCUGUUUGGUGGAAUGAACACCAACUCAAAAC